GUUUACUAAAAAGUGGUUCUUCUAUAGCAUACAAUUAAGGUUAGAUGAGGACCAAAUGAAACAUUCUCUUCACAGCCAAUAAAACCCUUGCUCCUCAAAAAGUCUUCCCUCGCUGGACCACCAAAGAAGAAAACCCUACCUCACUCAGAUUUUGAAACCCGACGCGUCGAAGGAGGGAUCCACCUCAAGCACACCCUUCUGUCCUAACGAUGCGCUGAAUCUGUGUCAAAACAUUAUACGAGCUACCGAAUUCAUCAGGUGUCCUCGGCGCGAUGUAUUGACAGAGAAUGCUCGAAAGGAGUUCGAAGACGCUCGGUUUGAGAAGGAUCUGGAAAUUGUUGCUCUUCUGUUGAUUGGAGGGCAGGAUGUCUGCAGUCGGCUCUUGAUAAGCUUGUCAAGAAGCAAAAGCAGCAAAUUGAGAAUGAAAGCAAUGAAUCAAAUCGAUGUUGACGUUUUUUGAAUAUGGAUGAAUCAUGCCAGAAUGGUAGUGUGGAUUCAUUCUUGCGAAACUAGAAGUUUGGGGAGACUCUUGGCAUCAGUUCAUUUUGUAAAGUUCAAAUUGCCGAAGAUACAUUACAGGGCACAAAGCUGCUGUCAAGAUCCUUAAGAAUAUAUAAGAAAAUAAAGAAAUGGAUACGAAAGAAAAAUGUUGGUCAAUCAAUCUUUAUGUGACAUAUUCUAUAAUCUAUUGUCUGUAACCUAUUUUUGCUUCUCUCCGGGGGAAAUAUGGUCCUUCAUUGCUUGAUGUUUUGCUGUUCAUUAUUUGAUGAUCUGCGAUGGUCCUUCAUUAUUCCCUUACACUACAUAUAUUGUUAAUUCUAUUUUCAAUUCAGAGUGUGGAAACUAGAAACUGCUGUAUCUUUGAGCUGUUGGUUCAAUGCUUUAGAAGGAUAGAAUUAUUUUUUGAUGUCGGCUAGAUUUUACACCUUAAUGGAUGGAAGUUGAAUGCCCCAAAGUUAUCUCAGGUACAGCAAUCUGAGACAUGAGUGGACGAAGACAGGUAUUUCAUUAACUUUCACUCACUAGAAUCAUACCAAAAUCAUUAACAUUCGCUCACCAGUUGGUUGGUCCUGUAGGGAUUGGCAAAACUCAAGUAAUAAUAAUAUUGGCAUGUCUGCAUAUGUUUAUUUUAUAUAUUAUUGACAACUACUUUUCCCAAAGUUUAUUCUUAUCCUGUUUGCUGUAAGUUUCCCUAAUCCCUGGGUCCGUCAGCUGAAUGAUUGUAUUUUGAUUUUAUACUUCAGUUUUUGCUGGAGUUACAUUCCACUUAAAACACAGAUAAAAUAUAUUCGUGGUGUUAUUGGUUUGGAACGAUCAGUUUUUUGUUGUCUAAUCCUUCAUAAUAGAUUAUUGUGCAUUAAUCAAAUGAUGAGCUAGCAACAUAGGAAAAGUUUGAUGACUUCAUCUUUCUUUCUCAGAUCAGAUGAGAAACUAGAGAAACGAGAAAUUUAGGCCAUCCCGAACUAGAUUUCUUUGAUAGGUUACUUGUAAGGCUGCUUAUCUUUGCGUUGUUGAAUUACUUAUGAAUGUUACUCUCAGUUCAAUGUCAAACCUGCUACACGUUUCUACUGUAGGGAUUUGGAUGAUCAAUUUUUAGGCAUUUUACCUAAAAAAAAAUAAAAAAUAAAACUUUGGGCAGUUUUACACUUCAAAAUUGGUGGUUGUGCAUUUGAGCUCAUAAUGACUUGGCAGCAUUUGACAACUUUGAUGCAUUCUCCUUACUUCUUUGAAUCAGAUGAACUGGAGAAGCAAGAAAUUAUGUUCAUCCUAAUUCAAUACACCCCUACCUUAUGGAUACAGUGCUACAUGUAAUUAUGGACACUAUUAUGUAGACAAUUAUGUACAUAUAGCACUUCCUAAAUUAUAAUCCAUCUCCUUUGCAUCACAUUCUGUAGAAAGACCACGAUCCAAGUUUAGUCCCUUUUUUAUAUAAUUCUUGUAAUAUGUCUCAUGAUGAUGUUGAAAAGUUUUGAUGAUGAUUAAAAGAAACUUGAAAGAGGUGUUUUUU